rnacentral:misc_RNA from 1 species
UUUUAACGAAUCAGACGAAAGAAAAUAUUUUCUGCGUCACAGAAAAACAUGGCAUCGUUGAAAGAAAUCGUGAUCAUGUACCAAAGUUUGAAGAGAGAAUGGGACAAAAAGCCACCGAAUUUAGACAGAUGUGGUGACUUUCUUACAAAAUUAAAGAUUGCUCUGACAGGAGUAACAUUUUUACCUACAGACGAGAGUGCACCAUCUAAACAAGAACUCCUAGUUGCAAGAGAUAUCUUAGAAAUAGGUGCACAGUGGGCCAUCGCUAAAAGAGACAUCCCAGUGUUUGAGAGAUACAUGGCUCAAUUGAAAUGUUACUACAUGGACUAUAAAGAUAACCUUCCUGAGUCUACCUACAAAUACCAGUUACUGGGUUUGAAUCUCCUCUGCUUGUUGGCUCAGAACAGAUUGGCAGAAUUCCAUACAGAACUUGAAUUAUUACCAGUAAAAGAACUACAGAAUAACAUUUACAUUAAACACCCUGUUUCGAUGGAACAAUAUUUGAUGGAGGGUAGUUAUAACAAGGUUUUCCUCGCCAAGGGAAAUGUUCCAGCUGAAAACUAUAACUUUUUCAUUGAUAUACUGUUGGAUACUAUUAGGUAAAUAGUAUUAUGAAGGGCAAUUUGAAGUUUUGAUUGGUCUUUUUGUUUUAGUUUUUAAAUUUCCCCCUUUGAAAUUUUGUCCUAAAUUUCAAUUUCUAUUCAUUUUAAAAUUCUGACCAAAAAUAAUAAAUCCUGAAUCCUAAAUAAAAUUUUGUACAAUUUACCAAGAUGGAAUAAUUUCAAGUCAAACAAAUUUUUCAGAUAGUCUUAAUUGUCUUGUCAUUUUUUUACCCAAUAGGCCGGCAUCAGUUCUGAGGAAGUUGGGGGAAAACACUGCUUUUUACUUUUUAAGCUUAAAUUAAACAAAUUGUUGAUGUACUGUGUCCCAUAAUUUAAAACAAAAUUAUAUCAUGCAUUUUUUUGCAAUUCAUUUUGGAAAAUGAUAAUUUUACAAAGCUAUUAUAGAUAAAGUAAUAAUCUCAAAGGAUUCAUGCAGCUUUAAGGAAGAAUAGUAGGACAAAGGGACUUCAAAAGACUGUAUUUUGAGAAGACCAUUUGUAGUCAAAAAACCAUUUUUCAGUAUGAGAUGGAAAAAAAAAAUGCUAUUUAUAAACUGAAAUUUGACUUGCUAAUAAGUCCAGAUUUACACUAUGGGUAUAAUGAUCAUAUAUAUUUACUAUUGUUGAAUCAAAAUUAAGAGCUUUUAAAUAGCAGACAUUUCAUAUUAUGGUCUAAUUAUAAAACUAUUGAAAUCAUUCUAUUUAACCCUUAAACCAUAUUUUGCUUUGCUGAAUACACUCAUGUUACUGUCAAAGCCUAUAAGACUCAUGCUUUUCUUCCUGAAAUUUUUCUAGUGAGCGUAAACUGCAAGAUCAUAUAAUAUUAAUAAACCUUCUUUUUUUUUUCAGAAAUGAAAUUGCAAGUUGUAUUGAAAAGGCUUAUGAGAAAAUAGCACUAAAUGAGGCAGCAAGAAUGCUCUUUUUUGAGAACGCAAAACCGAUGAAAGAUUAUGCUGUACAGAGAGGAUGGACACUACCUCCUGAUGGAUUCUUCCAUUUCCAGCAUGAGAAGAAGGAUGCUGAUGAAGUGAUUCCUGCGAAGAUGCUGGCUGAACAGACCAUAGAGUACGCCAGGGAAUUAGAGAUGAUUGUGUAGUUUCAUUCAGGUCUUCUAUUCAUUAUCAUUCAUGGACAGUAACUCUGACAGACUUGUGGCUGUGAUAGUGAUCUGAAGAUGCAAGUCUUUUGUGCAUGCGUCUAGAAAACUACAAGUGUUACAAAACUAGACCUCGUACUCUAAUGGAGCUUAUGUAUAUCUUGUCUUGCUCUUAACAAGACUUUGCAAGGAAAAUGUUCAAGAAAAAAGGUCAAGAGUUUAUAAUAAAGUGGAGUAUGACAAUGUCAUAUCAUUCAUAUGAAGAAAAAAAUAAAUAUUUAUGGAAUUU